GACGAACGCUGGCGGCGUGCUUAACACAUGCAAGUCGAACGGAAAGGCCCUUCGGGGUGCUCGAGUGGCGAACGGGUGAGUAACACGUGGGUGAUCUGCCCUGCACUUUGGGAUAAGCCUGGGAAACUGGGUCUAAUACCGAAUAGGACUCCGGCCUUCAUGGGUUGGGGUGGAAAGCUUUUGCGGUGUGGGAUGGGCCCGCGGCCUAUCAGCUUGUUGGUGGGGUAAUGGCCUACCAAGGCGACGACGGGUAGCCGGCCUGAGAGGGUGACCGGCCACACUGGGACUGAGAUACGGCCCAGACUCCUACGGGAGGCAGCAGUGGGGAAUAUUGCACAAUGGGCGCAAGCCUGAUGCAGCGACGCCGCGUGAGGGAUGACGGCCUUCGGGUUGUAAACCUCUUUCAGCACAGACGAAGCGCAAGUGACGGUAUGUGCAGAAGAAGGACCGGCCAACUACGUGCCAGCCGCCGCAGUAACAC
rnacentral:rRNA from 1 species